UGCUUAUUGCUUUAGGCAUAUUGGGGAGAGGGUAUAGACAAAAAUUGAUGGACUAAGUCAAUAUUUUGUUUAUCUAGGCACAAGUGAAAAUGAUAAAAUCAAGUCCAAUGAUUUUUAAUGGAACUGUACUCUUAUCUACUGGAGCAAGGCAAAGUCAGCAUAAGGAGAAAUGGAUGAAUGAAUUGGCUGCAGAAAGGGGGAAUAAGAGUUACAAUAAUUUGCAGAUAUAAGAAACUUUGGAAAAGAAGAGAACAAAAUGGAGUGUCGCAAUGUGAGGGAGGUAGAAGAGUGGCAGACAAAGAGAAAGGAGGAGGGAAUAAGCAUUUAUAGAGUACCUUCUAUGUGUCAGACAGUGUGGUCAAGAUGCUGUGAUUUCAUCUGUUUGGAAUCUUCCUCCGAGGAUGCAGAUUUCAUCCUUCUGUGAUUUGGCAGAUGCCUUACCGAGUUGCCUGAGGCUCAGAGAGAUUAAAGGCCGUGUUAAAAAUCACAUAGCAAAUUAUGGUAUGUGGUUGUGAUUGAAUACUACUGUGCCAUAAGAAAUGAUGAGCAGGCUAAUUUUAAUAAAACUUGGAAAGAACUACA
rnacentral:lncRNA from 1 species